UCAAAAACAUAGCCUUUAGCAACACAAGUAUUAAAGGUCCCGCCUGCCCAGUGAAAUUUAUUUUUAACGGCCGCGGUAUUCUAACCGUGCAAAGGUAGCGUAAUCACUUGUCUUCUAAAUAAAGACUAGUAUGAACGGCUAAAUGAGGGUAAGACUGUCUCUUAUAAUUAAUCAGUGAAACUGACCUUCCAGUACAAACGCUGGAAUAAACACAUAAGACGAGAAGACCCCGUGGAGCUUAAAACUAAUCACUAACACAUUAUUAUCCUAGUGCACUGUUUUCAGUUGGGGCGACUUCGGAAUAAAACAAAACUUCCGAGCACAGAACCACCACUUCCUACUAAGGCCAACAAGCCCAAGUACAACCUGACCCGGCUCCAAUGCCGAUCAACGAACCAAGUUACCCCGGGGAUAACAGCGCUAUCUUCUUCAAGAGUCCCUAUCAACAAGAAGGUUUACGACCUCGAUGUUGGAUCAGGACACCCAAAUGGUGCAGCCGCUAUUAAAGGUUCGUUUGUUCAACGAUUAACAGUCCUACGUGAUCUGUUU
rnacentral:rRNA from 1 species